GAGUAUGCAGGCAAUUACGUCUUUUGCCAGCAUUCAGCACAUGAAAAAUUUUAGAUGCCAACUUUAAAAUAAGCAAAGAAGGACAUUGUUUUUCAAAAUGAUUUUAGUGGGUACUAGAAGAGUUUUGAGAAGCAGUGUUUCAUUCACCUUCAUAUUUAACAUUUGAGUUUGAUGACGUUUGCAGGGAGCUGGUCUACACAGUAGUGGGAGUGUAUCCAGAUAUGAGAACAGGAUGGGAACCAAGGAGCUGGCAUGAACUGGGAGAAAAUUAGAGUAAAAUGGGAGCAAAUCCUGGGAACCUAUCUAGGAGAAAUAACAGGUUACUCUCCCGUGUGUAACGAGGCCUAUUUACAUCAUCACUUCAGAGAAGUAGGAAAGGAAAGAAAAGAGAAUCUCAAGUCCAAAUCUUUAAAGAAUUUACAAGCAAGGAAUGGGUUGGGGCAGAGAGAGGACUGUUUCAUUUUACAAUAAAACACGUUUUGGAUUUUGACAUCCAGAUUCUCAGAGCCACAAACGCCACAUUUUUACAUUUCCACCACCAAAGUGCAGGUGUAUGGCUCCAUCUGGAGCACUUGGAACUGAAAAUCAGUCUAUGGAGAUGAGACUGAACAGAAGAAAGCAGCAAGGCAGACUUAAUUAGGGUUGGAAAUGGGACUCAGGAAAAUCCCCCAAAUGAAUGCACUGAUGUAACAGAACCCUGGAGAAGCAAAUUUGAGUGAGGUUGUGGGGAGGGGGUGUCCAGGGCUGGUGCUCAGGCAUGCUGGGGAAUCGUUUAGUUUUAAGAACAAAAUAUGAAAUACAAAAAAUGGAGUCAUGGUAAAGAUUGGGAGUGAAAAGCCUCCGAGCCUAAAUUACAAGGGAUUUGAUGGCUGUGUUCGGCACUGAGAAAUAAAUAAGCUAGACGCAGAGACAUGGGCAAUAGGGGUGAAAAAGAAAAUACAUUACCAGUUCAAGGAAAAGAGAAGGGCGUGCAAGAUACGUUAUAAAUCAAAAUUGUCAGUGCUACAAGAGGAGGACUAGAAAAAAUGAAGUAUGAGGUGGGGAGAAAAUGAUCCAGGAAGUGGAGAUUGAACGAAAAAGGGUGGCAGGAGAUUGGAAACAUAAUAAACAGCUUCCGGAACAAGCAAGCCGCAAGAGGUCAGCAGAAACUGGUGUCCCCCUCAGGACGGUGGAUAAAAGAAUGGGGUCUUGUGACAUCACUGUCUCCUGAACCAUCAACUCCUUCUACUUCAAUCACUGCAGAGGCUGAACAAUUGCACGUGGAAAUGGGACCAUGAGAUUUCAUCUCCUCGAGUCCUUGGUUCCUCCUGGCUUCUAAAGUUGUCAACGGGGCUGGAUGACAAAGAGAGGUCUGUGCCAUGAGGCUAGACUCAUUUUCCAACUUCCUUGAGGUUGGGCAUCACAUGACUGACUUCCAGAGGAAGGAAUGUGAGCGGAAGUGUUGAGCGACACCAUAAAAACCUCCCAUGUGCACUUCCUUGUAUUCCUUCCACUUGCACGGACUUGAGACUACAAGCACGGAGAACUUGGAAACUAUUCAUAGAAGAUGGUAGAUCCAUAGGAUGUAAGAGCUCAGGGUUCCCAUUGGCUGCUUGGGGAACAGCUGCCUUCCAUCAAGGAUGCCUGUUUUGGUCUUUGCAGGAAUGAUAAAUGAACUUCCAGCAUGGUGGAGCCAUUACAUGUGCUCGGAUUCACUUAUUUUAGCAGCUAGAAUUCCCUGACGAAUGUAGUAUCUGUGCAACAUCGAAUAAGAUAUUCCACAUGUCUGAGACUCGAUUUUAUCAUAAAAAAAAUCACAUUAGUCCAUCUAGAAGGAAAAGAAGCAAUGAAAAUAAUAUAUUUUGGAUGCUGUAAUCAGUAUUAUAAGCAGUGUUAUCAUAAUCAUCAUCUCACAUAAAUGCAAAAUUAGAUAAUUCCAGCCUAAAUGUGCACCUAAGAUUUAAAGACCAUAUUUCAUUGAUUCUAAGACCCAGAUAUGAAAUUAGCAUGUGACUCAAAAUUGAUGGACUGACAUUGCCAAAGGGAUAGCUUGUUGUUUUAGAUGUGUGUGUAUGUGUGUGGGUGUGUAUUUUACAUGCCCUCAUUCUUUAGUGGCAUGUAAAAUAAGGAUACAACUUUCAAUCUAUGGUAUCUUAGAAUUGAUGAAGUGGCAUGCCAUGUUCUGGAUUUCAGAAUUAUAAUUUCCAUACAGUUUCUGUUCUUCCAGGAUUAGGCCACCCUUAUUCUGAGUUUUCCAAAGCUACACCACCCCAGAAAGCAAGGAUGUUACAUAGUCAAGGCCAAAAGAAGUUAAAGUAAAACUCAAACAUCAACAGUAACACAGUCCUGUCAGAGUUCUGUAAGAACAGGGUGAGAGAUUUUACCUGGAUAUAACAGUUUUCCCCAAGCUAAGUACAGUACCCGAGGCUCAAAACUCUAAUGUAAUGGUUUAUAUAGAUAUUUAAAUUUUGUCCUAGUGGUAACUGUAUGGACAUAUGGAAAUAUUAAAUAAAAAGAAAUUGCAGUCAUGUCCUAAAGCUCCAAUUAAACCAUAAUUGGACAAUAAUUAAUCUCUAUAAAUCAUACUAAAUGUAUUUUAUAUGUCCCAUUGAUCCAUAGUGUAAUAUUAAAUACAGAACAAUUAAACAGAUGGUUGAUAUCUUCUCUAAAUAUAAUUUCCAGAAAUUAAAAUAAACAUGAAAAAACAAAUGUGGUCUUAGUGUCUAAUCUCCCAGGAUAAUGUUUUCUUAAAAGCACAUGAAACUCUUUACUUCUUUUGCUUUUUCAGAUAACUCCCAUAAACAACUUGCAUCUGGGGAUGGAGGAGAAUGUCUUGUUUUUAUUCAAGUAUAAUCCACUUCUUGCAGAUAGCUCAAUCUACUAUAGAAUGAUGAAUUAAAGCAGAGAUCAGUGCACUAUGGUCCCAGGUCAAAUCUGGCCCCCCACCUGUUUUCAUACAGUCCAUGAGCUAAGGAAGUUUUUUGCAUUUUUAAAUGUUUGAAAAAAACUUAAAAUAUAAUAUUUUGGCCUGGCAUGGUGGUUCAUACCUGUAAUCGCAGUGUUUUGGGAGGCCAAGGCAAGAGGACUGCUUGAGGCCAGGAGGUCAAGACCAGCCUGGGCAACAUAGUAAGGCCCUGUCUCUACAAAAAAAAUUUUUUUAAUUAACUAGGUAUGGUGGCACAUGCCUGUAG
rnacentral:lncRNA from 1 species